AAAAUACAUUAUUAACUUUGGAAAAAAUGUGAUUAACCUUAAUGAGAACCUUGUGCCUGGUGACUUUGGCAGAUUUUGUUGAUUCAAGGAGACAAGUUUGUUUCAGCUGUAAUUCAUCCUGUUUUCUAAUUUCAAGUUUGCUUCUCUUGGCUUAAAGAAAUCAUCAACAGCAUUAAAG